rnacentral:rRNA from 1 species
GUGCCAGCAGCCGCGGUAAGACAGAGGGUGCAAACGUUGUUCGGAAUUACUGGGCGUAAAGCGCGUGUAGGCUGUCAUGCAAGUCGGGUGUGAAAGCCCAGGGCUCAACCCUGGAAGUGCACUCGAAACUGCAAGACUUGAGUCUCGGAGAGGAAAGCGGAAUUCUGGGUGUAGAGGUGAAAUUCGUAGAUAUCCAGAGGAACACCGGUGGCGAAGGCGGCUUUCUGGACGAGUUCUGACGCUGAGACGCGAAAGCGUGGGGAGCAAACAGGAUUAGAUACCCGCGUAGUCC